ACGCUCGACACCUACGGGAGACAGCAGCGGGGAAUAUUGCACAAUGGGGGAAACCCUGAUGCAGCGACGCCGCGUGGAGGAAGAAGGUCUUCGGAUUGUAAACUCCUGUUGUUGGGGAAAAAGAGGAUGGUACCCAACAAGGAAGUGACGGCUAACUACGUGCCACAGCCGCGGUAAUCUGAGCGGGCUGGCAAGGC
rnacentral:rRNA from 1 species